rnacentral:rRNA from 1 species
UACGGAGGGAGCUAGCGUUGUUCGGAAUUACUGGGCGUAAAGCGCGCGUAGGCGGUCUACCAAGUCAGGGGUGAAAUCCCGGGGCUCAACCCCGGAACUGCCCUUGAAACUAUUAGACUAGAAUCUUGGAGAGGUCAGUGGAAUUCCGAGUGUAGAGGUGAAAUUCGUAGAUAUUCGGAAGAACACCAGUGGCGAAGGCGACUGACUGGACAAGUAUUGACGCUGAGGUGCGAAAGCGUGGGGAGCAAACAGG